AUUCCUCAAUACCCUCAGAUUCCUCAAUACCCUCAGAUUCCUCAAUACCCUCAGAUUCCUCAAUACCCUCAGAUUCCUCAAUACCCUCAGAUUCCUCAAUACCCUCAGAUUCCUCAAUACCCUCAGAUUCCUCAAUACCCUCAGAUUCCUGAAUACCCUCAGAUUCCUGAAUACCCUCAGAUUCCUGAAUACCCUCAGAUUCCUGAAUGCCCUCAGAUGCCUCAAAACCCUAAGAUGUCCGAGACAACGACCACACGGCCUACAACUGCAAAGGUGACUACAAUUCCUAUAUAAUUAGCCGAUGCCUGAAUACCCUAAGAUGCCGGAGACAACAACAGCAACGACCACAAAGCCUAAAACUGCAAAGGCGACUCAAAUUCCUAAAAUUCCUGCACUGCCUCAGAUACCUCAAAACCCUCGGAUGCCUCAAAUACUCAGAUGACUCAAUACGCUCAAAUGCCGUUUCCACAAUAUAUGCCGAUGUAUCCUCCCUUAAUCCUCUUUAUCCUCCCAAAUAUCCAGCUACAAAGCCAAAACCUACUGCGGCGACAACACCAACUACAACUAAACCAAAGGCUACAAAUCCCUCAUUGCAGCUUCCACCAUCUAUGCCUUACUAUCAUCUUUACCCUAUGAUCCCUCCCUAUCCCCAAUAUCCAGCCACUCAGCCGACAACCACUCCAACUACCACUGUGAAACCAGAUCACCCGCCCACUCCGGCACCCCGUCCUCCUUUUCAUCCCCAUGUUCACUUGCCAUACCAAUGCUGCCUCCUUUUCCUCCUCCACGCUACCUUACUUAAACAGUUGUAAUAAAAGUUUUGAACAGA